ACUCUUCCGCAAUGGACGAAAGUCUGACCGCGCAACGCGGGGUGAGUGAUGAAGGCUUUCGGAUCGUAGAACUCUGUUGUCAGGGACGAACCCGUACCGGAGUCAUUGCCGGUAGCUUAACAGAUCCUGACGCGAAAGCACCCUCUAAGUACGUCCCAGCAUCAGCGGUAAUACGUAGGUGGUAAGCGUUGUCCGGAUUUAUUGGGCGUAAAGCGCGCGCAGGCGGUCUUUUAAGUCUGAUGUAGACUCUUACAGCUUAACUGUAAGCGGUCAGUGGAAACUGGGAGACUCGAGUGCAGAAGAAGAGAGUGGAAUUCCAUGGGUAGCGGUGAAAUGCGUAGAGAUAUGGAGGAACACCAGUGGCGAAGGCGACUCUCUGGUCUGUAACUGACGCUGAGGCGCGAAAGCGAGGGGAUCAAACA
rnacentral:rRNA from 1 species